GCGGAUAUAGCUCAGUGGUAGAGCAUCCUGUGCUUAGCAUGCACGAGGUCUUGGGUUCAAUCCUCAGUACCUCCA
rnacentral:tRNA from 1 species